GACGAACGCUGGCGGCGUGCUUAACACAUGCAAGUCGAACGGAAAGGCCCCCAUCUUGGUGGGGGUGCUCGAGUGGCGAACGGGUGAGUAACACGUGGGUGAUCUGCCCUGUACUUCGGGAUAAGCUUGGGAAACUGGGUCUAAUACCGGAUAGGACCAUGGUUUAGUGUCUCAUGGUGGAAAGAUUAUUGUUUUGGUGCAGGAUGAGCUCGCGGCCUAUCAGCUUGUUGGUGGGGUAAUGGCCUAUCAAGGCGUCGACGGGUAGCCGGCCUGAGAGGGUGGACGGCCACAUUGGGACUGAGAUACGGCCCAGACUCCUACGGGAGGCAGCAGUGGGGAAUAUUGCACAAUGGGCGCAAGCCUGAUGCAGCGACGCCGCGUGGGGGAUGACGGCCUUCGGGUUGUAAACUCCUUUCGUUAGGGACGAAGCCACGCUUUUGGGGUGUGGUGACGGUACCUUUGUGAAGAAGCACCGGCUAACUACGUG
rnacentral:rRNA from 1 species